rnacentral:lncRNA from 1 species
GCAACGACUGUAGCGACAGUGUUCUGUGCAGGGCGCUGUCAUAUAAUCAUGAGGAAAACAUAAGCAAUUUGCGCCUUUCAAAGCUGUGGCGUACAUAUUUCUGCUGAUUUACUGUUCAAUUCUUCCAUGUUUGCAUCCAUUUCUUCAUGUAUGCCUUGUUACCGCGAUAAAUAUAUCGCUGAAGAGUGGUUGUACGUGAUUUUUGGAAGUUUCGCAUCUUGGAUCCAGAGCGCGACACUCGACCGAAGGGAGAGAAAGAAACGCAAAAUGAGAGAAAGGGGCCUCGGAUCUCAACAGUGAGGAGGACUGGGGUCGGCGUAUAACCAGUGAAGUCCUCCGAGAUCAACUCCUGGCCGUCCGGAGAGCUCACGCCAUCGGGAAACCUUUGGCCUACCGGUGCCUACGUGGGCGGAGCCACCGACUCAGCCCGGGGGCUUUGCCCUCGGGCCGUAGUUUCUCUGGAUAAUGAUAAAGUCCUUGCCAUGCCAUGCCAUGAGACAGCAUGUUUCAAAAUGAAG